rnacentral:misc_RNA from 1 species
GAUGAAGAACGCAGCGAAAUGCGAUACUUGGUGUGAAUUGCAGAAUCCCGUGAACCAUCGAGUCUUUGAACGCAAGUUGCGCCUCAAGCCAUUAGGUUGAGGGCACGUCUGCCUGGGCGUCACAUAUCGUUGCCUGAUGCCAGUUUCCUCGUGAUGGGUGACUGUGCAGGGCGAAUGAUGGCUUCCCGUGAGCAUUGUUGCCUCAUGGUUGGUUGAAAAUUGAGUCCUUGGUAGGGAGCGCCGUGAUAGAUGGUGGUUGAGUGACGAACGAGACCCAAUCAUGUGAGACCCCUACCGAAUUUGGCCUUCAUGACCCGCAUGCGUCUUUGGAACGCUCAUGACGAGACCUCAGGUCAGGCGGGGCUACCCGCUGAGUUUAAGCAUAUCAAUAAGCGGAGGA